rnacentral:misc_RNA from 1 species
UCGGCAACCGCGAGUGCCAAACCUGCGCGCGCACGUGGUCGACUGGCUGGCUCUCCGCUGUGGCACUCGUGUUUGGCAGAGUAUCGAUUUUUGGCCAGUGUUCACUUGGAUGCUGUUCAGGCCACGAGUGGAAUAUGGUUCUGAGUGUUUAACCCAUUCAUUGUACAGUUUCAAGUUGUGUUAAGUGAGAUCCGACAGAAGCCGUAGAAACAUGACGAAGGACAGACUUGCAGCGCUCAAGGCGGCGCAGAGCGAUGAGGAUGACAUGGGCACAGAUGACGUUGCCGUCAAUGUCGACGGCAAUGUGGGCUACAUGGACGAGUUCUUUAAUGAGGUGGAGGAGAUACGGGAGAUGAUAGAGAAAAUACAGAACAAUGUAGAAGAAGUCAAGAAGAAACACAGCGAAAUCCUCUCCGCGCCGCAGCCUGAUGAAAAGGUGAAGCAGGAGUUAGAUGACAUGAUGACCGACAUCAAGAAGACAGCGAACAGAGUCAGAGCCAAACUUAAAGUGAUUGAGCAAAACAUUGAAUCAGAAGAACAAGUUAGUAAGGCGAGUGCAGAUCUAAGGAUAAAGAAAACUCAACAUUCAACCCUGAGUCGUAAAUUUGUGGAAGUGAUGACAGAGUAUAAUCGCACACAAACGGACUACCGUGAACGAUGCAAGGGCAGGAUACAAAGGCAGCUGGAAAUCACUGGCCGUAACACAACUAGUGAGGAGUUGGAAGACAUGUUAGAGCAAGGGAAUCCAGCUGUCUUCACACAGGGGAUCAUCAUGGAGACACAGCAAGCAAAACAAACCCUAGCAGAUAUUGAAGCUCGUCAUGCGGACAUUAUAAAAUUAGAGAACUCCAUCAGAGAACUGCAUGACAUGUUCAUGGACAUGGCCAUGUUAGUAGAGAGUCAGGGGGAGAUGAUUGAUAGGAUUGAAUAUCACGUAGAUCAGUCCGUCGAAUAUGUCGGCAAAGCUAUGGAGGACACUAAAAAGGCACUUAAGUAUCAAAGCAAAGCACGUAAGAAGAAGAUAAUGAUCAUGGUGUGUGUGUCGGUUGUGUGUGUUGUGCUGAGUCUCAGCGGGGCCUCCUACCUGGGCCUAAUCUAACCCUCUACUGCUUCGUUGUAACUAAAUUAAUAACUCUACUACCCCCUACUGGAAACGAGCCUCCAGUACAUGCUAGAUCUUCAAAGAAAAGGCACGUCUAUCUCUCUCUUCUUCCUGAUAUCCCUGUCUUGUGACCUGUACAUAGUGUAGUCAAGCCUCGAUGGACAGAUGUCAGCUCUCAGCAUCAGCCUCUGCAACACUAUACAAGCACUUCACGAACUUUUACACUCAUUUACAUCUUAUAACAGAGCAUGCAUAUUAUACUCUUUUCAUCAUGUAAUAAUUGAUUGAUUCAUAAUCUGUGUUUAAAUAAUCUCAACAGAAUAUGGGAGAAUAUUGUGAAUAAGCACUGCAUACAAUCUAGUCACUAUAAGUAAAGUUAUGGAGAUAUUUGUGAACUUACAAUACAAGCACUGUACUUAGGUUAGUCAUAGUAUUAUUGGAAUAUUAUCAUGAAAUAUUAGUGUAUUUAGUAUUUUAAGAAAGAUUAUUUUCUUUUUGUAACAAUACAGAAGCAAUAUUACUUUUUUAUGUGAAAAAGAAACUUGGUUGUUGCCUUAAAGGUUACUACUAAUUAUAACUAGGAAAAUAGUCACUAAUAUAUUUUUUUCUGAAAUGGAAGGUUGUGAGCUUUGUAUUGUUAUAUGUUUCUUUUUUUGUGCUGAUUUUAUUGCAAUGUAUUUCUUCUCAUUUGAUAUAUGUUAUGUGUGCAAACAGUGCUCUAAAGUUCUAUAGGAUGAAUAUUAACUUAUAACUAUCAGAAGCCCAGUGAGAGCUCUGGUGCUGAGAGUAUUAAAGAUGUCUCCAGCAUAUACGGUCACCAAAGGCAACGAUGAUUAUUUACUCAACUGAUACUGUAUGUCCCAAAUUCCUUUUGGAUAGUUCGAGCCAGGCAUUUCAUGAUUUUCUGUAGUUCAUAUUAUUUUGUCAAGGAACAUAUGAUACUCCAGUUUCAUGGUCUCAAAUUGUAAUUAGACUUGAUAAAGUAUGUGUAACUUGUAAUAGUGGAUAUUUGCUAGUAUAUCAGUAAUAUAUCAAUCCUUUUUGAAAAAUGAAACUGGCCAAUUGCAUAAUAGUGUCAACAAGUGAGCCUCAUGUUUUCCAAAAUGCCUUUUACAACGACCUUAAAUUGGAUGAAUUUAAGCCUUAGAUUCAGUAGCCUCAUGUCAACUGGUGCUUCAAAAGAUUGGUUAAAGGCUGGGACUUGCAGUAUAUCCGUUUGGAGAAAGGUGUUGCUGGCCGGAUAUGCAAGUGGCUCACCAUAUGAAAGUUUACAGAAGGUAUAGGUAACAUUUCCAAUGUCAGCAUUUUAGAGCCUAUAGUUAAAUGUUAAAAAUGAGAUUAAUGCACCAUCAUCAUCAUUUUAUUCCUGUUUUUUACAUUGUAGAUUACAUUGUAUAAUAUGUACUUAUUGUUUGUAUGAUCUAUUUUUUGGACUGGGCCCUGUUAGUUACUUGUUUGUUAAGAAUGUUAAAGAAACUAACUCCCCAUCUACUUUCCAUGGAAAUGAAGAUUCAACUUAUGUUUCAUUGUAGUCAUUUUUUCUAAAUCUGGGAGACAUACUCUUUUGUUAACAAGUAAAACAACUGCAGACUUGUAAGUGGGAUGAAAUCAAUCAAGAACGUGAUCAUAAGAUAUCUUUGAAAAAUUUAGUAUUAUAUAGAACACUCCAUCAGAUUACAGAACUUUCUGUUGAUGUUUGGAAAUAUGUUCAACAAAAUUCAUUAUUACGAUAAUGGAAUUGAGUUGUGAUCAGGUAGCCUUUUUCCCAUAGGGUAUACCAUAGGUCAGGUCUCCUAGAAAUUCAGUCUUUCUUGAGAUUAAGCUUUGAUUUUAUGUGUAUAUAUACAUA